UCAGCGGCGGACGGGUGAGUAACACGUGGGCAACCUGCCUGUAAGACUGGGAUAACUCCGGGAAACCGGAGCUAAUACCGGAUAGUAUCUUGAACCGCAUGGUUCAAGUUGGAAAGACGGUUUCGGCUGUCACUUACAGAUGGGCCCGCGGCGCAUUAGCUAGUUGGUGAGGUAAUGGCUCACCAAGGCAACGAUGCGUAGCCGACCUGAGAGGGUGAUCGGCCACACUGGGACUGAGACACGGCCCAGACUCCUACGGGAGGCAGCAGUAGGGAAUCUUCCGCAAUGGACGAAAGUCUGACGGAGCAACGCCGCGUGAGUGAUGAAGGUUUUCGGAUCGUAAAACUCUGUUGUUAGGGAAGAACAAGUGCGAGAGUAACUGCUCGCACCUUGACGGUACCUAACCAGAAAGCCACGGCUAACUACGUGCCAGCAGCCGCGGUAAUACGUAGGUGGCAAGCGUUGUCCGGAAUUAUUGGGCGUAAAGCGCGCGCAGGCGGUUUCUUAAGUCUGAUGUGAAAGCCCCCGGCUCAACCGGGGAGGGUCAUUGGAAACUGGGAAACUUGAGUGCAGAAGAGGAGAGUGGAAUUCCACGUGUAGCGGUGAAAUGCGUAGAGAUGUGGAGGAACACCAGUGGCGAAGGCGACUCUCUGGUCUGUAACUGACGCUGAGGCGCGAAAGCGUGGGGAGCGAACAGGAUUAGAUA
rnacentral:rRNA from 1 species